CUACGGGAGGCAGCAGUAAGGAAUAUUGCACAAUGGGGGAAACCCUGAUGCAGCAACGCCGCGUGGACGAAGAAGGCCUUCGGGUCGUAAAGUCCUUUUCUGAGGGAAGAGGAAGGACGGUACCUCAGGAAUAAGUCUCGGCUAACUACGUGCCAGCAGCCGCGGUAAAACGUAGGAGGCGAGCGUUAUCCGGAUUCACUGGGCGUAAAGGGCAAGUAGGCGGUUGUUUAAGUUAGGUGUGACAUCUCUCGGCUUAACUGGGAGGGAGCGCUUAAAACUAGGCAACUAGAGGGCGGAAGAAGGGGGUAGAACUCCAAAUGUAGCGGUGGAAUGCUCAGAUAUUUGGAAGAAUACCAGUGGGGAAGGCGACCCCCCGGUCCGUGCCUGACGCUGAGAGGCGAAAGCUAGGGUAGCGAACGGGAUUAGAUACCCGUGUAGUC
rnacentral:rRNA from 1 species